UUGAAACAGAAAAUAAGAACAAUUAGAUAAGUAAAGGAACAAGGAAAAAACUAAGCUUGGAAUGAUAAAUUCACUUAAUUCAAAUUGUUACAUUGUACCUGGUGUGGUUUCAAAAAUGAGUGAACAAGAUAUUCGAACAUGAAAAUAUUAAGACAGUUACAUUAACUGUGAUGUCUUUAAAGUGGCGACAUUAGAGAUAUUUAUGUGAUGUUUAGAAGACAUGGAAUCAUAAUAAAAAUAAAGUUCCCUAAAUAAGAUAUAGUAGACUUACAUAAUGUGUUGAAAGUGAGUAGAUCAAAACACAAUUCAUUUACCGUUUGAAUAUUAUUUAAGUGGUAUUUGUACUUUGUGUCAUUUCAAAGUAUAAUAAGUCAUAUUUAUGAUUUAGAAUUUCCAGCUAGUUAUAUGAAUAAUCUGUCCUUUCGUUACUCUAUAUCUCACAAAAAGAAUAUUUUAACAAAGUUUUCGAAUUAACCGCUUAUUCUGAAUAUCUAAAAUAGUUUGAAAUUCGCUUCAUUAUGGAGAAUACAUAUUCAAGUCGUACCUUCCUGUUUUCCAUCAAAAUCUAAUUUGAAACGUACUGUGAUGUAAUAUAUUUAUGAAGGUAUGUUUUUAUUCACCAAAAUAUAUAUGAUUCUUUAACGUUGUAACUACUGUUGAGAAAUUGAAAGAACAAUAAUAGUAUAUUUGAAAAUACUAAACAGCUUGUAAAAAAUGAUUGAUUGUCAACAAUUCUUGUAAGAAAUUUUGUCAGCGGUAAUAAUUUCGCAAGGGUUUUAAUGUUGAAUGAUUUCAAAUGUAGUAAAAAUGCCUAUCUAUCCAAAAUUUGAAGAUGAUGCAUAAUUGUCAAGAAGAAAAUUUUGAAAGAGAGUCCAAAUAACCUAGAUUAAAAGAAAUAUGCUUAUAACUCAGUUAAUUAGCUUUAACAAUCAAGGAAACAUACAAUGAACGUUGAUAUUAAAAUUCCCGAUUUAACAGGAUAGGUGAUGAUUAAAACGACAUAACUUUAUUUAAUUAACAAUUUAGACAUAUGACCAGCAGCAAACAAAGAAAAACCCCGGAAUAAUAAGCUAUGAACCGGCAAAAAAUGACACGACUAGUAAAACCAGUUUGUAAGCACUUACAAAAUAUAUAUUUCAGUGUAUUAUAUUCAGGGAUUGGCACGAUUUUAAUCUAUUAUCUUAAAAAUUGGUAACAUUACUUUUCCAUUACUAAACAUAACCUGCUACACAAUUUGAUAAAGGACAAUGAUGUUGCUCAACGUAUUUAUAAAAAAAAAAUUACAACUUUUCAAACAAUUUUUUUUAAAUAAGUUCACUCAAUUUCAAUGAUGGAAAUUUACAAAUUAUAAUUACAUGCGUUAUUGUAUUAUUUUGUUUUGAUAAUCUCUGAAAUCACAAAUUAUAUAACU
rnacentral:lncRNA from 1 species